UUUCUCAAAAUAAGUGCUCCGGUGGGGGCUAGAAUACACAGAGAAUACAACUUAUGCUGACACGUAUACAGCAUUUUACAGAUAAAAAGUUCAUUACAUAUAAAGAGCAUCAGAUGUAGGCCUUAAUUUAAUUACGCUGAACAUUGGAAUCAAGAUAUAUUCCCUUACACUAGUGCUGCAUAAACAGAAACAAAAGUGAUUUGACUCCUAAUUGUCAGAGAAAUAAGCAGUGAUACUGCAGGGGCAGGAUCUAUACAAACUGCUUGAUUAC